rnacentral:rRNA from 1 species
AACGAACGCUGGCGGCAUGCCUAACACAUGCAAGUCGAACGAGACCUUCGGGUCUAGUGGCGCACGGGUGCGUAACGCGUGGGAACCUGCCCUUAGGUUCGGAAUAACUCCCCGAAAGGGGUGCUAAUACCGGAUAAUGUCUUCGGACCAAAGAUCUAUCGCCUUUGGAUGGGCCCGCGUUGGAUUAGCUAGUUGGUAGGGUAAAAGCCUACCAAGGCGACGAUCCAUAGCUGGUCUGAGAGGAUGAUCAGCCACACUGGGACUGAGACACGGCCCAGACUCCUACGGGAGGCAGCAGUGGGGAAUAUUGGACAAUGGGCGAAAGCCUGAUCCAGCAAUGCCGCGUGAGUGAUGAAGGCCUUAGGGUUGUAGAGCUCUUUUACCCGGGAUGAUAAUGACAGUACCGGGAGAAUAAGCUCCGGCUAACUCCGUG